AACGCACCUUGCGCUCCUUGGUAUUCCGAGGAGCAUGCCUGUUUGAGUGUCAUUAAUAUAUCAACCUCUUCAGCUUUUGCUUGUUGAGUGUUGGAUGUGGGGGUUUUAUUUUGUUGGCCUUUCUCAGGUCAGCUUCCCUGAAAGGCAUUAGCCGGAACAAUUUGUUGACCGUUCAUUGGUGUGAUAAAUAUCUACGCUAUUGACGUGAAACAGAUUCGGCUUCUUAACAGUCCAUUGACUUGGACAAAUUUUCAUUAAUGUGACCUCAAAUCAGGUAGGAUUACCCGCUGAACUUAA
rnacentral:misc_RNA from 1 species